GAUGAACGCUGGCGGCGUGCCUAAUACAUGCAAGUCGAGCGAACAGAUGAGGAGCUUGCUCCUCUGACGUUAGCGGCGGACGGGUGAGUAACACGUGGAUAACCUACCUAUAAGACUGGGAUAACUUCGGGAAACCGGAGCUAAUACCGGAUAAUAUAUUGAACCGUAUGGUUCAAUAGUGAAAGACGGUUUUGCUGUCACUUAUAGAUGGAUCCGCGCCGCAUUAGCUAGUUGGUAAGGUAACGGCUUACCAAGGCAACGAUGCGUAGUCGACCUGAGAGGGUGAUCGGCCACACUGGAACUGAGACACGGUCCAGACUCCUACGGGAGGCAGCAGUAGGGAAUCUUCCGCAAUGGGCGAAAGCCUGACGGAGCAACGCCGCGUGAGUGAUGAAGGUCUUCGGAUCGUAAAACUCUGUUAUUAGGGAAGAACAAAUGUGUAAGUAACUAUGCACGUCUUGACGGUACCUAAUCAGAAAGCCACGGCUAACUACGUG
rnacentral:rRNA from 1 species